AGAAGGGUCUCGACCACAAACGUCACCCAAUCCUUCUCUCCAGAGAUGCUGCCUGUCCUGCUGAGUUACUCCAGCAUUUUGUGUUUAUCCUGUAUUUAAGGCUGUUAGGGUCCCUGGUACAGUCACAUCACCACUAGAACAGUCCCAAUGCCCCAGUACGACAGAGAGGGAGGAAAUCUGCACCUUGCCCCUGACCAGUGACGCCAGGGACCCACAUAUAACUCUUUAUAUUGAUAUUGAUUCUAACUCUACUAUCGAUUAAACUCAGCUCAACUCAGUCCAAGAAUUAAUCUCCAUUUCAUGUAGACUCUUUCACAACUUAAUUCCACCAAUUACAGUGUGCUGUAUGAAGCUAAUGUUUAAAAUAAAAGCAGAAAGUGCUGAAACUACUGAAGUUCAGCAGCUUUCUCUGGAAAGAGAAACAGAAGUAAGUCUUCACUUGCCCUUAAGUGUAGACUAUCAUUUCACACUGUUUUCUCCUCCACAUAUGCUGCCCGACCUGCUGCCUAUUUCCAGCAAUCGGGUUUUAUUUCAGAUUUCCAACAGUUUUUUAUUUUUUGAGAUUAAAGAAGAGACUCAAGUCAACCGAGGGUUCUUCUAAUUAGUCACUAGGAACUGCAGAUGCAGGUUUUACAAAAAAGGGACACAAAGUGCCGGAGUAACACAACGGGUUAGGCAGCAUCUCUGGGAACUAUGGAUAGGUGUCAUUUUGGGUCAUGGCCCUUCUUUGGUGGGCGGGGGGGAAAGCUGGAAAAGAGGUGAGGACAGGACAAAGCCUGGAUUUCUCUCCCCUAGUACAAUCAGUCUUAAGGGUCCUCACGUGAAGCAAUACCCAUCUGCAUUUGGAAGCUGCCUGGCCCGCUGAGUUACUCUAGUACUGUGUUUUUUUUCAAUUAGAAAUGGGGAGGAGGGGAUGGGUAUGUGUGCAUAUGUGGGGAAUAGGUGGCUGCGUAGGUUGAUCGUGCAAUAGCUGUGUGUGCCUGCGGCUGGUUGAAUGAGUGGGUGAGCGCCGUGAUGGCCACUGCAUGUAAUCUGAACUUGUUCACUCACUCAUUCAUCAUUUGGCCAGGCCAACGGCGAAUGUCUUGGGCAGCACCACUGCAACGUUGAGCACUGUCACAAAGGAGGGGGGGUGUUCGCAAUAAACUAAUGAAGGACUGGAAUCUCUUGAACUUUCCUUUCCUUACAUGGUCAGGGUCAGGCAAGAAUAAGCAAGCAGCAAGCAGAAGUGAAUUAUUGUGGCUGCUGUCCGGUAUUGUUAAGGAGGUGUGGGGUGUGCGGCUGUGUAGAACGGCUCCAGAUGUUGUAGCUAUAAGAUUGCGUUGAGCUAGUUGGGGUGAUUGGAAAGACCAAGAGGGUGAAGACUCAUUGGUCCCAAGAGGCAUUUGCGCUCAUUCUGAUGUGCAGGUUGCUGUAGAGGGGGAGAUCAGGCCCAACUGAAAUACCAACGUGCCUUUGUACAGGGGAAGAAAUUAUAAUGCAAGGGAUUUUCGUUUUUAAAAACUGGCUGAAAUAAAGCUACCAGUAGGAUGAUGGUGUUUCAUUAAUUAAGUGAACAGACAUUAUUCUUAUGGGGGAGAUUGACAACACCUUUCAGACUCUCUGACUGACCAACACUUAUAUUUUUGUAUUUCAAAUAAUGUUCCCAUUUUUCAAAUCAACAAGCAAAGAGUCUGCUGAUAACCUGGCACCUUUGCAGGGCUCAGAGGAUUUCAGGCCCAGAGGGGGAGAGGAUUGGGUAUAAAUGGGUGAGAUUUAUUAAACUAAGGCUCUGUUUAAUUUGAGCCAUUGUCGACCUGGGCUGGUGGGUAGAGGGGUUUGGUGAGUUAAGACAUAAUUACAUCAAUUUGAAUGAGAUUGUAUAUAGAGGAUGGAUAGAGGGUGGUCAAAUAACAGUCUCAACCAGUCAACAUCAAACCCUGACCCUCGUGUGAAGCUAGGAGCUAUGAAAGCGGCUGCUUUGGGGUUAUCUGUAGUUACGUGUUUCUUUUUGAGAAAUAAUGAAACUUGUUCGUUCCCUGGGAAGAUCCAGUCAGCUGUUAUGUGAUAUUACUCGGGGGAGUUUGACUCUUUCCAUCCAGACCCAACUGUUACAGGAAAUAAGACAUGGCUUGGCACUCUGCUGCGACUUCUACAGGAGAGGUAGCAGUAAACAAAGAGUCUUGUCUUCACCUUCGGGGUGUCAUUGUAUUCCUGAUAGUAUGGAUGAGUCGUGUGUUGUUUUCAUUGACUAGCGGAAAAGAUUGCUUUUAAAUAGAUGGCCUUCCCAAUUACAUGUAAAUAACGCUUUGGGAGGAGACUCCUGCAGGUGUCUCAAUCUACUUUUGAACCGCCGGUGUCCUGAUAAGGUUCCUGGCCUGGAGAAUCAUCGUCAUCACCAGAGGUGCUGCAGACAGGCGCAUGAUUUACAUACAUUGAGACACCUUGCAGGAAUCUCUCUCAAAGUAUUGUUCAACUGAAAUUAGUCAGAACAUGAGUGGCACCACUCCUGUGCAAGUUGCUGGAACCAUAUUACCCAAAGUAGAUCACUUCAUGGACUACUGAAUUCCUCGAACAGAACUUGAACGCUCUUGUCUUUGCAUCAAAUUCCUCUCUGUUCCUUUAAUCCUGUCGGCUCUCAGCCCCGCAUCAUACAUAUUGCAAAUCCCGAGAGAGUAUUGGUUCAAAUCAUGAUAUUAACGCGAACAAUGUUUUGUACAGUUCAUGUUUCUUUAAUCAAAUGUUUGUAUAUUUAAAUCAUUAUGGUCAUUCUGAUGAAAUCUCCACAUCUACUUCUCACCCAUAACUUUGUAAUUUUUGCAAUGUUAACAUUUCCCAAAUAUUGAAGGUUUGCACAGACAUAUUAUGUAUUACAGCCAUGUGUGUGUGUGUGUGUGUGUGUGUAUGUAUGUCUCUGUCUGAAGGAGGACUGGACAAAGCUUUGAACAGUAACAAUGACAACGUGUCAACUGCACGAAAAAUGCAGCCCUAAGUUUGUCAAUUUUCUCUCCUUUGCACCCCAGCUUUCUCACCCAUCCUUGGCGUUCUCCCCUUUCCCCUCUACCACCCAACCUCUUUCUCAUUCCACUUCCCCAUCCUCUGCCUUCCAUCUCUUGCCCCCUCCACUUUUCCUCUUCCUCCAUCUCCCCUUUUCCCCCUCAAAUUUAGAGCGUGGAGGAGAGCAAAGACAAGCUGGCAGUUCUGAGCCUUGCUCUGCGUUGGGCCAGGAAUGAUCAGAAUCCAUGUGAUCGCAUUGAGGUGGAAGUCAUCGCCCUUACUGACAGCAAAUGAUGGCCAGACCGCUGGUGUGCAGCUGACACUGAGCUGUGAGCUCAGGCUCACGAACCUUACCCACCUGGUUUACCCACUGCUGCCAUGUCAACAUUUGAUCAGUGCAUCUUCUCACUAAUGGAAUUUAAAAUUUCUCCCCUGUGCUCCUUGCCACCACAACACUUAGGGAAGGAAGUUGUAGAAAUGCAGUUUUGUUUUGUUUCUUUGGAAAAAUUAUCUGUAAGGAUAAAUGCUGCUGUCCAACCAGAUGUCACAGGUGUGAGCAAAAUUGCCAGUUACUGACUGGUUGCUCACUGCUUCCAGUCACUGGCAGCUUGUCUGAUAUGACAGCAGCUUCUGUCCAAGCAGAGGCUAUGCCUCUUCAGUCAGGGAUACUGCCCUUGCAGUGAGACCUGAGCCCAAGCACUUGGCCGAUUGUUACCCCCUCAAUCGGUGGGCCAGAUAGAAGGACUGUUCGGAGAUCUUCCUCCUGCAAUCUACCGCUGUGUGUUCAUUGGCUCUGGAAGAGGAGAUUGCUUCGCUGGUGAGAUUGGAUCUUUCACCCUCCACGUCUAGACUUGCCCAUGAGAACAAGUCUGGACCUGGCGGGUCGUAGUACUGACCUGACGGCCAAUAAUCAUAGCCAGCUCCGUGGAUAGAGUGGUGGAGAGAAGCAGUUGUGGAGGGAGACAGAGGAAAACGUGGUCCGGGCACAGACAAAGUUACAGUGAGGUACAGCUGUCUCAGCCCAUGGGCACCUGAAUCGAUUGCCUGUGGUGAGUGUUGGUUGGAAGGGUUGAGUUGUGGGUACGAAUGUAGAAACAUGUAUCCAUGGUAAGGAUUGAUAUAUUUUAUAUAAAUAAAUGUAGAUUAGUUAAAGAAUGUUUUUAUAGAAUCAGAUGGCUGAUAUUUCUCUUACGACAUAAACACAAGUUACCCUGUGAGGAGGGUAUUUAUAUUACCUGGCCUGUCAGAUGGGAGAUCACACUUUUUGCUGAUGUGACCAUAGUCAAGGCACAUUGACGAGUACUCCUACACUACACAGUAUGAAUGUCAUAAGGGGAUACCCCGGUCAGGGAACAGACGGAGCAGCACCUCCACCCUGCCUGGAUCUUCCCUCACUCAACACCUCGCUGUUCAUCGACCAUCAGCUCCAGUUUGCCAUCCUCCCCGAGACAUGACUCGUCUGAGCUGGGGAGGGCCAGAGCACUGCGAGACCUCGCCCAGGCUUGCCAUGGCUCCAGAGGGAACGGUGGGGUGGUGUGGAGAUGUGACCAAGCUUUUGCAGUCCUAUUAGUGAAAGUGAAGGGGGUCUGGUUGAGGUCAGGGCUGUGCUUUCAGUGCAGUGGCGUCCACUUGUGUUCGAAGCUAUGUUAAUGACACUUUAAACCAUGCAGCCAGGGUCUGUUUUAUUAUCCCCUCCCUGCCCACCCCUCCAGUGAUUUGUAACCUGCCAACCCCACCCUUCAUUUACACUUUUUGCCAUUCUAUGUCUGACUAUUUCUUUCUCUUCUGUCUCUGCUCAGCUCCCCUUCCUCGUUAUACUUGCUGUGACCGAGGUGAAUGACCCAGUGAAUUUUGUCUUGGAGUCUAGGAAAGUCCCUGUGUUGCCUUUGGUUGGUAAUCAGCCUCAGCAGACCUAGCUCCUGAAUAACACCAGGCAGAGCUCUGGUCCCGUCUCCUGGAAGGUGUGUAUCUGGGACAGGGCUAACUGACCCUGGCUCGUCACCCACAGGCUGUACUGCCUGAGGAACAGCUGCAGCAAAGGUUGAUCCUGGCUGUGAGGGACUCUGGCUCUGGCCAUUCUCAAAUUUAACAUCAUGCUGCAGGCUGAAACUGGCUGGGGGUUCAGCGGAAGAUUUUGUGCUUUUGCUCUAGGCUUCUAACGAGACUAGGGACUUGUCUAUUUCAGGCAGCAGUAAACUGGACACAAUAGAUUCACCUGUUAAUAUUUAAGUUCAAUCAUCUUACACUGUGUGCUACGCAAUAAUAUUUAUGGAGGCAACUGGGCAGUAACUCUCAUGCCUUACAACCUGCAUCCCAGAAGUAUGUCUACCAGAAUCAUUAGAUAUCACAUUAAUUAUUGUUUCCGGCCCUUCUGUUUAUUUUCUGUACAGACAAUUCAAAGUGUUCUUAGACUGAGACAAUGUUUUAAUAGCUACCUACAUCAUGUAUCUGGUGAACCAGUUUCUAUGUAAUUAUGUUCCUUUAAGAAUUAUGGCAGGUUUGUUAACACGUAAUUUGUGUUUUAGCAUCACUGAACCUUUACAAUAGUUUAUAGAUGUCUAGAUGUUUGAGAUGUAAAGGAGUUCCCUACUUCAGUGACGAUGCCGCUGUGAAGCAGGGAUAGGUUGGUUUGUAAAUAUGAAUCUAUGUAAACAGAGCCUGCCUGUCGCUGUGUUUUUAGCUUUCUAUUACAUUUGGAUUAACUUUUUUGUUUUUUAUUCUAUAUAUCAGGGAAUUUUUAAAAUAAAUUCACAAAAUCUAAACUUUUAA